rnacentral:rRNA from 1 species
UACGAAGGGUGCAAGCGUUACUCGGAAUUACUGGGCGUAAAGCGUGCGUAGGUGGUUGUUUAAGUCUGUUGUGAAAGCCCUGGGCUCAACCUGGGAAUUGCAGUGGAUACUGGGCGACUAGAGUGUGGUAGAGGGUAGUGGAAUUCCCGGUGUAGCAGUGAAAUGCGUAGAGAUCGGGAGGAACAUCCAUGGCGAAGGCAGCUACCUGGGCCUGUACUGACGCUGAGACACGAAAGCGUGGGGAGCAAACAGG